CGGUAACAGCUCAAAUUUGAAAUCUGACCUUCACGGGUCCGAGUUGUAAUUUGUAGAGGAUGUUUCGGAUAGGCUUUGGUUUAAGUUUCUUGGAACAGAACGUCAUAGAGGGUGAGAGCCCCGUCU
rnacentral:rRNA from 1 species